GAUGAAGAACGCAGCGAAAUGCGAUAAGUAAUGUGAAUUGCAGAAUUCAGUGAAUCAUCGAAUCUUUGAACGCACAUUGCGCCCCUUGGUAUUCCGAGGGGCAUGCCUGUUCGAGCGUCAUUAUAACCCCUCAAGCUCAGCUUGUUGUUGGGGCCUGCUGCACUGGCAGCCCUUAAAAUCAGUGGCGGCGCCAUCUGGCUCUAAGCGUAGUAAUUCUUCUCGCUAUGGAGUCCUGGUGGAUGCUUGCCAUCAACCCCCAAUUUUUCUAUGGUUGACCUCGGAUCAGGUAGGGAUACCCGCUGAACUUAAGCAUAUCAAUAAGCGGAGGA
rnacentral:misc_RNA from 1 species